AUGAAAUGUUCCACUUUAUUAUCCAACCUCAAGUCAAGUUUAGGAGAAUUAGAUGUACGCAUGGGGUACAAUCUCUGUCGAGUUGAAUGGGACUUUCUCCAUAAGAGGAAGGAUGUGGUUGCCAAAGCUUUAGAAAAUGUUCUUCUGCUGGAUCAGGAACUGGAGAAACAUGAGGUUUGUAGGCUUUAUAUUAUCACCUAAAGUAGGCGAGAGGAAUUCUUUGAAUGUCUAUGUAAAACUGCUCAUGUUGCUGCAGGUACUUACAAUUGGACAAUCUCAGACAAUUGAGUAUAACUUUCCAACGAGUCUGCUUUAUUAAAAGGAAUCAUCAACAAGUCCGAGAGAAACAUUGUGUAAGGAAAACAAAAUACUGUAGAUACUGUAUGGAAGUGUCACAAGGGUGUAGAGGGAAUAGGAUGACUCCCAACAAAGCACAGGCAUGUCCUGUAGUAGUCAGGAAAUGUGACUUUGCCAAGAAAGAGAAGAAAGCAACAUAUUUGUGAUACCCCCAAGCCUUUCUCAUCUGGGUUGCCACCUUAUAGUAGUAGGCAGGGCUCCUGUUGACAAAUUUGUCCUUGCUGCUACUCAAACAGGCACCCAAUACACACCUUUACAGUGUUGUCCAACCACUUGUGAAUCUUGACUGCCUUCUUCACCUUCCUUUUUACUCUCAGAAUUUUACUUUGGCCUUCUGACUGUAACCAUUUAGCAAUCCUGCCACAACCGAUUCCCAAACUGGAAGACUUCUAAUAGUUACGCUCGCUUUUCCUUCUACUCCCCCUUUGUUGACCUAUGGCCAGGCAGCAAGAAUGUGUUUAUUGCUUGAUAACUGCUACUAGGAAAUAGAAGUUUGUUGGACCAAAAAAAGAAAAAAAAAGAAAAAGAAAAAAGAGGAUGUUUCAUUUUAUACAGUGGUGACUCGACUUACAGAAUUAAUCCGUAUUGGAAUGGUGGCUGCAAUUCAGAAUUGACUUACAGAAUUAAUCCAUAUUGGAAUGGUGGCUGCAACUCAGAAUUUUCAUAAGUCCAAGCACCGUUUCCCAUAGGAAUGCAUUGAAAACCAAUUAAUCCCUUCCGGCUGAAGAAAAAAAAAUACUAAAUAGAGAGAGAAAGAAAAUAAACAGAGCAAGUACCAUGCUGGGACUGGAAAA
rnacentral:lncRNA from 1 species